UCCAGGGCUGUCAGGAACCCAACUGUUCUGGUAAAGUCCUGCCGUGAGUAGCAGGGGAAUUCACUGGCUCUGCAGGCAGCUGACUGCGUGCCAAUCCUGGCUGUGCCCUGACCAGCUGUGUGACCUUGGGCGAGUCACUUACCCUCUCUGGACCUGUUGUCUCAUAUGCAAAAUGGAACCGAGCCCUCGGAGAGCCUCGCUGGGUUGAGGCAAGACUGCACAGUGCCCUGGGACACUGUCCUGCCUGUGUGGAGGGUGUGGGACGAGGCUGACAUCGGAGAGCAAGCGGCAGAGUGUGCAGACAGAGGGACGUCCCCUCCCAGAAGUUCCCACUCCAGCUGACAGCUGGCCCAGGGGUCACUGCCGCCCAGCCCGGCCUGCAGCUCCCUUUCUGGUGUUCAGGGCUGGUGCGUACACUCGGCUCCUGCCUGUGACUGGUGUCUCGUCAGUCCCUGGGAGAGACGUGGGCUGGAGACGCAACUCCCCAGAUCGGGUCGGGGUUGGUUCCCAUUCCGUGGGAGCCCCUCCGCGGCCCACUCGUGCUCACUGCCAGUCGUCGACGGCCAUGUGGUCCACCCUCGCUGGUCUGCACGGGAACGGCAGGCAAGGGGGGCCCCUCCCCGCUCGCAGCCUCGAGUCCACCCACAACCACCACGAGCUGGGCUGCAGGCUGUGCCCCUCAUCCCCCCAAAGAGAGCCUCCAGCCUGCCUGGCACCCAGGACGUCCGCACGGUGAGCUCUGA